CCAAAUUCUGCAAUACCUGUGGCACUCCAGGAACAGGGUUGCCUCUUCCUGAUGUAGGGGACAGAUGAUAUUUGAGGUUGUUCAGUUCUUGCUUUGACAGGUCUGUUUUUCAUCCAGAGGUUGUGAUCAUUGGUUGUGAACACAACUUGAAACUUCAGGAGGAGGAACCAAAGUGGUGGAAGGAAAAAUUGAAGCAAUGGAGAGAAAAAACAAUGCGGUGGUUACUUGUCAGCUUGGAGUCCAAGAGAAUACUCAACGCUGCAUUGGAGAAGAGGGCAAAUGCUGUGUCGAAGACAAUCUACCACUCUGCUCUGGAACGCAAAUUCUCUGCCUUUGUACUGGACAUUUUGGGGGAUUUCAAGGUCUUUAUACUGUAAUUGUGAACAACAUUUAUAAAAUACAUGUGUCAACAAUGAAG
ensembl:lncRNA